UGUUCCGCUAUGUGAAAAAUGUUGAAUAUCAACAAUGGGUUUCAGUGCUGUAUUGUUGAGUUUUGUAUGAACUAAUCUUGCUUCACUAAAAAAGACCUACAGCUUGGACAAAAGUCUAUAGCCAGGGCAUUCCUAGCACUAAGGCAGGCUGAGGCAGAGGGGAAGACAUGUUAGUCUUGUGCUCUCCUAGUUGCUAAAGCACCGGGCUGCAGGAGUCACGAGGCGGCCCCGCUUCACUCGAUGUGUGCCUGUUGGCUCGGGGGGGAGAACUCCACGGAUGUGUCUGCAGGUUGAGGCCCCUAGAGCAGUGAGGGGGAAAGGGGUAGCGAGCAAAGGACCAGCGUUGAGCGAGGAGCCCGAGUACUGGUACGCUGAUUUGGAGCACUAGCUCCAUGAGAAAUCUGCGGACUACCGCUAGUAAAGGGUGAGGAAUGCCGGGUGUGCAGACCGCUGUUUUGGUCCAGCAGAGACCGAGAUCUCCGGCGGCUGAAGGGUGGUUCUUGAAUCGGACAGAUACUGUUCAAUCCUCGUUUCUGCCAAUCACGCAAAGAUGAGGACAACACCCAAACUGGCACUGAAAUGAAUUAUGCGCCGGAUCACGAUGGACUUCCGCGUGAGAAAAUGUGUUGCCUCUAAACCUAUGCUUUGAGGGGAAGAUAAUUCGCCCAAAAUGUUGAAGAUUCUCAACAAGGAUAACAACGACGUAUAAGAAGACCCAAAGGUUCCCAAAGGCUUUGGUUUUGCUCCACCGCAGUCCGCCCUGAGAGGCUGCCGUAUCGGUUUGGAGAGCAACAGGUGGUUAUCCUUGUAAUGUUCUUGAUGCAUGUCCAAGGAUGAGAGGAUGAUGGAGAUGGAGGUUGCUCUGCUAUAACCCUGGAUGAGAGGAUGAUGGAGAUGGAGGUUGCUCUGCUAUAACCUUGGAUGAGAGGAUGAUGGAGAUGGAGGUUGAUCUGCUAUAACCCUGGAUGAAAGGAUGAUGGAGAUGGAGGUUGCUCUGCUAUAACCCUGGAUGAGAGGAUGAUGGAGAUGGAGGUUACUCUGCUCUUACCCUGGAUGAGAGGGUGCAAUGACAGCUUCAAAGACUUAACCUAAGGAGUAAUCCACAUGAAUCAUCUACCACUGCUUCUGCUGCCCAGAUUAUGGUAUGAUUAGAACCUGUGAUAAAGAUUAGCAAAAAUGACUAUUAAACAAUAAAAAUCUCCUGGUACUUGGACAAUUGGGAAAUUAUUUUGUUUAAUACUAAAUAGGGUUCCAUUUUUUUUGUUUCCUUUCCUACAAAUGUGUAAUCUGCAUUAACAUUCAGUUUUUUCUGAGAGUUAAUCUCAAUUGUGGCCUUCCAUGGCUCCGUGUUUUACUGCAGUAUACUAAUACGGUAUGUCAAAUUCAUGAGGAUUUGACAUCUAACUCAAAUCUAUGGCACAUGGCAAAACAAAAACUGAAGAAAGGAGAAGAUUCUUUCAGAAAUAAAAGGACUUCCAGAAAUAACAACAAACAGCUGAAAAACAAAAUAAAACGUGUAACACUAUUAGCUACUAUUAGGUGCUACUUAUAAACAUGUUUAAAACCACUGGAGGAGCGGUACAAUAUGUCUAAGUGCAGUAGUUAUAACAGAAAUUGGUCACAUCACCAAGUCUUAAAAACAACUGUUAUUAUGGCUCAAUGCUAAUACGCUAUCAGAAAAGGUUGCCAUGAAAAAAUACUUUUAUUAUUUAUUUAUUGUUACUUUAGCAUGGUAUGUCAACUGAGAACAUAUUCUCAUUUACAGCAAUGACCUGGGAAAUUGUUGCAUGGAGAGGGACUAAAUUUGCCAAUUGGAAGCUUGGGAUGGCUAGGCCAUAGAAUGCGGGCUAGAUUGGAAAUGUUAUUGAGAGCAAUGAACAAAUAUAAACACAGGGAGUUUUCUAAUUGGACCAGUGGAAGCAAAAUUGCCCAAAGAUCUACCACCAUAUUUUUCAGUAGAUAUGAGGGUUUUGCAUCUUUCUUUCCAGGCCAAAGCACCCACUUGUGUGCAUAGCUGAAGUGCUAUAUUUCUGUCUCAUCUGACCAUAGCACCUGCUUCCAAUAUAAGUGGCAAUACCAUUUUGCAAACCCCAGGCACUUCUUGUAAGUUAAGGUCAAAGGCAUAAUAAACUCUACCAAUUACCAGAACAUUUUGGCCCCCAAAAAUUUAAGUUGCAUCCAGUAGGAGGAUAAAAGUUGGAGGAUUCAGAAAAACCAUGACACCAAGCACACAUCAAAAUCCACAAAUGGAUGGAAAUGUUUCGUUGACAUAAAUAAUUGAUAUUGUGCAAUGGCAAUCUCGGUUUCUGGGCUAAAACUUUAUUGAAAACCUGUGUUUUGAAUUCAAAGGGGCAGUCCAGAAGACCAGAAUCAAGGCCAUCAAGGGUCUGUAUUGAGGAGUGGUGUAUAGACUAGGGAGUGGCAGGUAACCUAUUUUUUAGAGCGUCUGGCCAGUAAA